GCACGCUCACAGCCUUUGUGUCCACACCACAAGCCGGAUGGGUCAGAGGCUGCAGUUAUUAUCCCGGUUUUGCAGAACAGGAAACAGAAGUGCAGAAGGUCAGGCAGUGAGUAAGUGGAACAGGGCUCAGCAGGCUGCGGGCAGGGCAAGGCCUCGGGCCACAGCUGAAGGGUAGCGGGAGCCACAAGUACCCAGUGGUCUGAGUAAGGCUAGUGUGGGGCUAUCAGGCGGCCACUCAGGGUGCCUGGGGUGGACGGUACUCAAAAGUGAGCUCCCUUCCUGUCUUGGCGCUUGGGGAGCCCCCUGCCGUUCUGAGUCAGGCAAGGGCCUAAGGCCUGAGUACCAGACGUGUUCACGUGGCGGCUAUGAGGCAGAGAUCAGUGGCCAAGGCCGGGGAAGAGGCUGACCUGGUGAUCCAGGGAGGGGCAGGCAGCUCAUGGUCUGAGAUCAGGCCAGGCCAAAAUACCAAGAUUUUCCAAGGAGCCCUGUGGUGAGAAGGCCAGAUGCCAGGAAGCUGGAGGAAGAUAACUGUUGCCCAGUAUUCCUGAAGUUGCCUGUAGAAAUGGAGAAGCUGCUUGUGGAAAAAAAACUCUAGACCGGGAGCCAGGCCUGGCUCUUCCUCUCUCUGGGCCUCAGCAACUUGUCUGUACCUGGGUACCGGCUGAGAGCCAGCAGGCUCCAGCCACAUGGAACCAGCUGUCACUCCCCAGACUCUUGGGCACCCUUCCCUUACUGAUCUACUGCCUUCGACUCCUGAUGCAGAUAUUACCUCCUCUUGGAAGCCCUCCCUGACUGCCUUCGCACCCCCUGCUCCUGUUCUCGUCUGUUCCUGCCUGCUCUUGGCUGGCCACUCCCAGCUUGGUGCGUGAGGACCAGAGAAGAGUGACACAGGAUUCUGGUGUCCAGCACAGCGCCACACACAACUCAGACCCUCACUGAAGGGCAUGGAGCACUGGCCACCUCCAGCCUGCCAUUGCUGAUCAAUCGGCCGACCUUUUCCAAGCACUUAGCCUGACAUAGAGGACCCAGGACCCAGAGAGGAACUGGCCACACUCUCUGCCUUCAAGGGCUCCUUGUCUGAAGUGGCCAGGAAAAAGUGCAUGUAAAGAUAUUUCCUGGAAAGUCAAUGUGACUAUAAAUACGAUGUAAACAUAUUCAUGGAAGUGCAUAUAUGAGGGAAAGCAAAGCAGGCAGUGAGAGAUGCCUGACACCUGGAUUUCAAUUACAGCUUUGCCACUGUCAGAUGUGUGACCUUGAGUAAGAGAAAGAAGUGAAAGAGAUGAGCUGCAGCCUGCGGUUCUGGGAGAGGAGAGGAACAGCAGUGAGGAUCACAGUGAGUAGUCUGUCACUGUCCAAGACCACGCUUGUCACUUUUGCCGUGGGUGUCAGAGUUGUGCCAGGCCCUGUUUCAUCCUCACAGAGCUCAGUGAGGAAGGAUUAUUGGUACCCCUGUUUCACAGCGGAGGAAACCAAGGCUGCAGGGGGAAAUGAUUUGGUCCAGUCCCGCAGGGAGAUGGGAGCAAAUUCAGGACCCGAACCCCGGGGCUCCUGGUCCAACACCCUUUCGGCUCCCUAUAAUGCUCACUCACUCACUCGCACGCUGAAUUAUUUAUUGAGCCUCUGCACUGAGGUCCUAGCUGACGGGGCCAUGCUCAGGUCUGCUAGAGCACUGGUCCUCACAGGGGGAGAGCAGCAUUAUCAGCCUUACCUGGGAACAUGGUAGAAAUGCAUUCUCGGGUCCCAACCCAGACUUACUGAACCAGAGACCCUGGGGUUAGACCCAGCCCUCCACAUUUUAAUGAACUUUCCAGGUGAUUCUGUUGCACACUGAAUUUGAGAAUCACUGCAUUGCCUCACCUCAGUUUCUACGUCUGUGUUUCAGGGAAAAUCUCAACACCCGUCUCACAAGGUUGAGCUCAGUAUCAGCUAACACACGUGCUGGCUGUGUGUUCUGUGCCAGGCAUUCUUCUAAGCCCUCUACAAAUAUUAACUAAUUUCAUUUCACAACUCCGUAAGAUAGGAACUAAUACUAUCCUCAUUUCACAGAUGAGGAAAUGAAGGCACAGAGAGGUAAAGUAGCUCACCCAGGGUCACACAGCUAGAAUCCAAGCUCUAACCAGUUAACCAACGGAAAGCCCCCAGCAGAGGGUCUGGCGCCCAGAAUGUGUUCCAGGCGUGGCUAAGGAUGUGAUGAUGGCAAUUAGUAUUACCUCACCUGAGUUUGAGAUGAUGAUCCCCAUUUUGUAAAUAUGAAGUCUGCUGCCCUGUCAAGAUCGAGGAGUGAGUCAGCUGCAAAGGCAGCCUCAGUAUCUGGAACCCCAGUGCAGCCCACAAGUCCUCACCAUUCAUGCAGUUUUGAGACCAUAAUAUACCACCUUGGUCUUCUGGAAACAUCUCAGUUUGCUGUAGGGAAGAGUGUAGACUCUGACAGAGGUGAGCUGAAAACCUCAUUUGGCCAUUCAGAGGCUGUGUGACCUGGGACAAAUUGCCUCACCUCUCUGAUCUUUAGAUCACCUUUUCUCAUUGUAAAGUGGAUGAUGACAGUCCUAACCUUACGGGGUUCCUGUGAGGGUUGGAGAAGAUGACAUUUGUGCUCAGCCCGCAGCAUGCACAGAGCUGGUCAUCAACAAGCAGCUUGCCCACCUCCCUUCCCAUCCCUGCUGCUACCUCAGGGGAAAGACCAGCUCUGGACCCAGAAAAGCUUUGAAAGAAAAAGAUAUAAAUUCCCCAACAAUCAAAAUGCCUUUGUCCUCCAGCCUCCCUGCCCUUUUCCAGACUUCCUUGAAAUAGACACCCCGGCCAGGGUUUCUGGGGUGAAACACUGGCACCUGCUGCUUCCAAGUUGGGAGUUAAGUACCCUGUGAAGGGAAGAGGAGGUGACCUCUCUGAGCCACCACCACUGGCCGGUGUCCUUAAUCAGCACGAGCAUCUCAGCAUCCGCCUUCCGUGAGCAGUUUGGCCUGGACAUCUGAAGCUCGUUAGCUGCCUGCUCCCAGGGGGCUGACCCCGCUUGGAGAGAAUUAUCCCAGACAGAGCCAUGGAGGAUGGAGCAAACGAAGACCAGGUGAGGUGUGGCCACAGAAGGCGGAGGAGCAUAGUCUCCGGAGCGGCCUCUGGGGACCUGUGGAGAACAGAGGAGGCUGGGAAAAAGCACCGGGCUUGCGCCAAGCUCCAGCCCAGCUACGGGCUCCCAGACUAUGCAAACUGGAGAUGGGGGUGGGAGGGGGUCCUUUCCCUCUUUGGGCCUCAGUUUCCCCAUGCCUCCAUUGGAAGAGGGGUAAGCAAGGUGCACACUGAAGGCCUUCCAGCCCUGACAUGGCGGGCUCCCAGGCUGACCUAGAAUUCCCGGCCUCUGAGGUUUAGCCCACUGCUGGUGGGAGGUAAGUGACAGGUGGUGGGUGGGGACAUAAUUCAGAGACUGGAGAGCCAUGAUCCCUCCCUGGCCUGGACAUCAGAGGGGAGCUGGGAUGGGAAGACCAGAAAGUGAUCCCACAUUUCAGAACAGUCAGCCAGGUGCCCAUGGGUGGCAGAGAUGGUGUGAGCCGAGCCUC